rnacentral:misc_RNA from 1 species
GAUGAAGAACGUAGCGAAAUGCGAUAAGUAAUGUGAAUUGCAGAAUUCAGUGAAUCAUCGAAUCUUUGAACGCACAUUGCGCCCGCCAGUAUUCUUGCGGGCAUGCCUGUUCGAGCGUCAUUUCAACCAUCAAGCCCUGCUUGCGUUGGGGUCCUGCGGCUGCCCGCAGGCCCUGAAAACCAGUGGCGGGCUCGCUAGUCACACCGAGCGCAGUAAUACAUCUCGCUUUGGGCGUGCGGCGGGUUCUUGCCGUUAAACACCCCCUUUUUACCAAGGUUGACCUCGGAUCAGGUAGGAAUACCCGCUGAACUUAAGCAUAUCAAUAAGCGGAGGA